CGUGAGCCAGGUCGGUUUCUAUCCUAAGAUAUAAAAUAUUCAUAUUAGUACGAAAGGACCAUAUGAUUGAAAUAAUUUUUGUUUACUGGUUAAAAUUAAUUGUUU
rnacentral:rRNA from 5 species